AUUGAACGCUGGCGGCAGGCCUAACACAUGCAAGUCGAGCGCGCGGCGGACGGGUGAGUAAUGUAUGGGGACUGCCCGAUAGAGGGGGAUAACUACUGGAACCGGUGGCUAAUACCGCAUACUAUCGGAUAUCCAAUAUGGGAUUAGCUAGUGGGUGGGGUAAAGGCUCACCAAGGCGACGAUCUCUAGCUGGUCUGAGAGGGUGAUCAGCAACACUGGGACUGAGACACGGGCCAGACUCCUACGGAGGCAGCAGUGGGGAAUAUUGCACAAGGGGCGAAAGCCUGAUGCAGCCAUGCCGCGGGUAUGAAGAAGGCCUUAGGGUUGUAAAGUACUUUCAGCGGGGAGGCGUUACCCGCAGAAGAAGCACCGGCUAACUCCGUGCCAGCAGCCGCGGUAAUAC
rnacentral:rRNA from 1 species